GGCAAACUCUGCUUGCCAGCCCUGGCAUUGAUCAGUGUCGGAGAGUUGCCAUGCUAACCUGCAGGAAUGCUUUGACCUGCCGAAGCUCACGAGAGAGAACUGAAGACAGAGAGUCUCAUAAGCUCCCCCUGCUGCAGUGACCGAGUGAGGGAGACAUAUAUAUGCAUGGAGCAACUUCCAACUCUCCAUCCACUGCAAGAGGUGAAGUCAACGUAUGUGUAGUGUGCUUGUGUGUGUG